UACGUAGGGGGCUAGCGUUGUCCGGAAUCAUUGGGCGUAAAGCGCGUGUAGGCGGUCCGGUAAGUCCGCUGUGAAAGUCGGGGGCUCAACCCUCGAAUGCCGGUGGAUACUGUCGGGCUAGAGUGCGGAAGAGGCGAGUGGAAUUCCUGGGUGUAGCGGUGGAAUGCGCAGAUAUCAGGAGGAACACCAAUAGCGAAGGCAGCUCGCUGGGACGGUACUGACGCUGAGGCGCGAAAGCGUGGGGAGCGAACAGG
rnacentral:rRNA from 1 species